rnacentral:rRNA from 1 species
UACGUCGGGGGCAAGCGUUGUCCGGAAUCAUUGGGCGUAAAGAGCGUGUAGGCGGCCAGAUAAGUCCGCUGUGAAAUCUCGAGGCUCAACUUCGAGCUGUCGGUGGAAACUGUCUGGCUAGAGUCCGGAAGAGGAGAAUGGAAUUCCUGGUGUAGCGGUGAAAUGCGCAGAUAUCAGGAAGAACACCCGUGGCGAAGGCGGUUCUCUGGGACGGUACUGACGCUGAGACGCGAAAGCGUGGGGAGCGAACAGG